GUCCUACUUUUGUCGAGAAAGUGUUUUGAAUUGUGUCAGGGCUGAGAAGAAGCAGCACUAAAAAAUUGUUUUUUUGGACAACAGUAGGCAUCC
rnacentral:SRP_RNA from 1 species